UACAGAGGGGGCAAGCGUUAUUCGGAAUUAUUGGGCGUAAAGGGCGCGUAGGCGGCUUGGCAAGUGGAAGGUGAAAUCCCUCGGCCUAACCGAGGAACUGCCCUCCAAACUGCUUGGCUUGAGACCGGGAGAGGUGAGUGGAAUUCCCAGUGUAGCGGUGAAAUGCGUAGAUAUUGGGAGGAACACCAGUGGCGAAGGCGGCUCACUGGCUCAUUACUGACGCUCAGGCGCGAUAGCGUGGGGAUCAAACAGG
rnacentral:rRNA from 1 species